AGAGUUUGAUCCUGGCUCAGAACGUACGCUGGCGGCACGCCUAACACAUGCAAGUCGAACGAAGUAGCAAUACUUAGUGGCAGACGGGUGAGUAACAUGUAGGUAUCUACCCUUUGGCCUGGAAUAACACGAGGAAACUUGUGCUAAUACCGGAUAAGUCUUUACGGAGAAAGCUUUAUGCACCAUUGGAUGAGCCUGCACUUGAUUAGUUUGUUGGUGGGGUAAUGGCCUACCAAGACUGUGAUCAAUAGCUGAUUUGAGAGGAUGAUCAGCCACAUUGGGACUGAGACACGGCCCAAACUCCUACGGGAGGCAGCAGUGGGGAAUCUUGCACAAUGGAGGAAACUCUGAUGCAGCGAUGCCGCGUGAGUGAAGAAGGCCUUUGGGUUGUAAAGCUCUUUCGUCGGGGAAGAAAAUGACUGUACCCGAAUAAGAAGGUCCGGCUAACUUCGUGCCAGCAGCCGCGGUAAUACGAAGGGACCUAGCGUAGUUCGGAAUUACUGGGCUUAAAGAGUUCGUAGGUGGUUGAAAAAGUUAGUGGUGAAAUCCCAGAGCUUAACUCUGGAACUGCCAUUAAAACUUUUCAGCUAGAGUAUGAUAGAGGAAAGCAGAAUUUCUAGUGUAGAGGUGAAAUUCGUA
rnacentral:rRNA from 1 species